rnacentral:rRNA from 1 species
UAGGGAAUCUUCGGCAAUGGACGAAAGUCUGACCGAGCAACGCCGCGUGAGUGAAGAAGGUUUUCGGAUCGUAAACCUCUGUUGUUAGAGAAGAACAAGGACGUUAGUAACUGAACGUCCCCUGACGGUAUCUAACCAGAAAGCCACGGCUAACUACGUGCCAGCAGCCGCGGUAAUACGUAGGUGGCAAGCGUUGUCCGGAUUUAUUGGGCGUAAAGCGAGCGCAGGCGGUUUCUUAAGUCUGAGGUGAAAGCCCCCGGCUCAACCGGGGAGGGUCAUUGGAAACUGGGAGACUUGAGUGCAGAAGAGGAGAGUGGAAUUCCAUGUGUAGCGGUGAAAUGCGUAGAUAUAUGGAGGAACACCAGUGGCGAAGGCGGCUCUCUGGUCUGUAACUGACGCUGAGGCUCGAAAGCGUGGGGAGCAAACAGG